GGGGGAAGGAAAGAAGGCAGUUCCACCAUUUCCAGUCAACUGAGUCAUGGACCCCAUGAUGGAGUUUGAGGAUAUAAUAUGAUGCCAGACCCAAGCCAGCAACUCUGGGACAGUCUCAUCUCACGGUUAACCUUAGAGACCUGCUAAUCCAUGUGACCCCACAGCUUGGCCUCAUGGCUCAAAGGACAGGAUUUCGUCUUCAUCAUCCUCUUCUUCAACAUGAGGGAUUGUUGAGCAAGUACUCAUA